UGUUCACUUAAGCAGCACAUAUAACUAAAAAUGGAAUGGUACAGAGAAGAUUAAUGUGCCCUGUACAAGGAUGACAUGCAAAUUCCCGAAGUGUUACAUAUUUUA
rnacentral:snRNA from 1 species